CCUUUUAUUAUUUGAGGGAAAAACCAUUAUUUAUAUGAUCAAGAGGAAAGGCUCUGUGAAAAGCACUUAAUAAAUCACACAAUUGCUACAUAACUGAAAGGCUUCAUUAUUAUCUCACUGGGAGGUGUGAAUGCCACAAAAUAGUUUGGUUUAGAACUUAGAAACCAAAGUUAACAUGCAGUCAAUCAGCUCCAUAAAAGGACCUACACCGGACGUGAACUUGGUCCUAGAUUUCAGUUUCUGAUGAAAUAUUCUGCAGCUGUUGCUCACAGACAGGGCUAUUUCGGGCCAGAAUGCAAACAAUUUUUCAUUUCUGUCAUUCAGAAUCUCUCCUGAUAAUAUCAAUAUCCCUGAUAAGAGAAAUUUUGAAAAAAAAUAAUAAUCAUGAAGGAAAUGCAUUAUUCCGCUUCCUACCAAGUGACCAGCGGUACAAACCUUCCGAUCUCUUUGAUGCCAAGACAGCUGUUUGAAGGAUAAAAGCCUCCAAAGGUAACAGAGCCCCAAAGAAGCUACACGACGUGUUCAAAGUCUCAUAAUGACUGAGAUGACCCCGGGAAUCCAGGAAGGAGAAUGGAAAUCAGGCUUGUCCGUGACACUCAAGCUCCUCCAGCCCCACCGCUAGCUUCUCACUACCUCCUGCUCUGAUUAAGCACUGAACUGCACGAGUUACCGAGAGCCAAUGUGCCCACUUCCGGAGAAAAAGUUCCCGCAAGAGGGAGACGUGGUGGACAUGACAACAGACUCCUCCUGGGGCCUGGACGAUCGCAAGAGCGUAACCGGUGUUAGGUACCACCGGAGAGAGCCUGGCAGCUAAUACCACGGGACGAAACCACUCCACGAUGACACAAAAAAAAGAAGAGAACAGCUAAAUGUUUAAAGAGUCCCUGCAUUUUGAUAUUCUUCCCAACUGACCCCACCCCUGCAAACAACAUCAUAGUAAAGCACAAUUUUCACAUCAGGAGACCAUCUUAUUCCAUCUUGGCAUUGAAACAUUUAACCGCAUUUUCUAAAUGCUGUGCAUAAGGAAAUGGUUUACCUUCCAGCAUUUUUUGCAG